AUUUCUUUGGUUCGUGAGCGUGAUGAUUGAGUGUUCAUGCCGUAUGCGUGAGAUGUGUCUCCCUCUAUCCUUGAUAUCAUGUGGGUACAUUAAUGAUCUGACA